GAUGAACGCUGGCGGCAUGCCUAAUACAUGCAAGUCGAGCGAACGGAUAAGCCGCUUUCUCCUUUUCCGUUGGCGACGGGCGGGUAAUUACUACGUAGCUAACCUACCGUUAAGACUGGGAUACCUUCGGGAACCCGGAUCCAAUACCGGUUCAUAUUUCGAACGUCAUGGUUCUAUAGUGCAAGCUCUUUUUGCUAUCACUUAUAGAUGUACCCUCGCCGUAUUAGCUAGUUGGUACGGUAACGGCGUACCAAGGCGACGAUGCGUAGCAGACCUGAGAGGGUGAUCGGCCACACUGGAACUGAGACACGGUCCAGACUCCUACGGGAGGCAGCAGUAGGGAAUAUUGCGCAAUGGGCGAAAGCCUGACGGAGCAACGCCGCGUGAGUGAAGAAGGUCUUCGGAUCGUAAAGCUCUGUUAGUAGGGAAGAACAGAAGUAUAAGUAAAUGUGCACGUCUUGACGGUACCUAAUCAGAAAGCAACGGCUAACUACGUG
rnacentral:rRNA from 1 species